CUCGACAAGUUGCAACUGGAAGUUAUGGCCAGGCUUUGGAGACAGGUCUUACCUGUAGUGGUCGUCCCCGGCUCAAUGCUGGCUCAGACUCCGGGCUGAAGGGUCUCAGCUCCACCGCCUGCUGCAGCGAACGCCAGGAACUCCGCUUCUGCUCUGUAGCCGUGAACACACACCGAGACCGUAUCCGUAGCUGUUGCUUGCGCACAUGGAUGAUCCGAAACCACCCAAAGUUAAAGCCCAAGACGAUCAGAAGCUCAUCUGGAAUUGUAAGGAAAUGCAAAUACGUGGGAGUAAAUUGUAGACCACAGAUAGGAGGAAAUAGCAUGUAUUGCCGAUGAGGGGAUCUGUGCGAAUUAGAACUGGAAACAACAAGCAGCAUUCCUGGAUGACAUUUAAGCCUGCCUCAAGUUCACACCUCCUUGAAAUCCUGUUUUGGAAAUGUCUGGUAUUCACCUUCAAAGAUGAUGGAUUCCACAACCUGACAUAACUUUUAUGCUGAACAAUCUCCAACUUUAACAGAAUUUGGUAUGACCAUACUGGCAUCCAUCUGAACAUGCCUGUGCUUUUCACCUGAGUGAUAGAAUUGUCAAUGGAUUCUGAUUCACAUGACUUAAUAUCUAAACUUUAGUUUUAAACUAUGCCUUGUUGUAUAAUGUUUUAUUUUCCUUUUUCUUUCUUGUGUGUGCAAAGUCACAAAGGCCAACAUGGGUUUGAAUGUGUGAAUAAAUAAGACUCCUGAAUUAGACAGAGGAGACAUUGUUAAAUUAAGGUCACUCAAAAAUGAAGUUUAAAAGCACACCACAGCCUAUCUGAAAAGUUAACCACUCUUAUGGACAGAAUGCAAGGAGCAGAUAAGAGUUCAAUUUGUCCUUGUCUGUAAUACAAUGAAUAAUUUAUUAUACUGCAUUAUGAACUUUACUCCGUCCAUUUAAUUGCCUAAGGGAAUUUUUAUAUAUACACAUGUGCUAGUCUAAAAAUAUUGGUAUAGGAAUUUAUCCUACGAAGUAACUGUUCAUUACCACUAAUGAUGUUAUGGUCGCAAUUUUUGGCAGAUUUUAAAUGGGCAUCUUUAAUUUUUUUUACAUCUUAUGUAAUACAUUUGACAAUUCACCUCAUUGUAUUCAUUCACUAUAACAAAAUCAGACCUUACUCCUUUUAUACAGAAUAUUGUUCAGUUUGUUUUCUUCACAAUACCUCAAUGUAAUCUUUAUGUCAAGUCACACCUUACAACUGAGGCAUAUUCAUGGUAAAGGAAAGCAUACGCUGGAUUGGGAUCUGAAAGGGGCUUUACACCUGGAGGCAACUGGCUAAGGUACUGAAAGAGUUUAUUGCAUCUAUGUUUAUGAAAGAAGAAAAUGCCACCCCAGUCAUAAAGUGAAAGGAGACAAGUGAGAUAGUGGAUGGACUAAAAUUUGAGGAAAAAGUAGGAGCACUAAACAAUCUGGCUAUAAUUAUAGUUAAUAAGUCAUCAAGACAAGAUGAAAUGUGUCUAGGGAACAGAAGAGAAGGGUGGAAGUAUGGAAAUACUGAUCAUAACCAAGUGUUCUCUUUGGGUACAGGGUUAUGCCAGAGGGCUGGGAAAUUGUUCAAAUGGUGUAAAGAUUACCUGAGGGACAACACUUCCAUUGUGGUGAUGGGAAAACUCUUAGAAAUGAUAAAUUAGGGCAAAACAAACUUGUUUGAACGAAUGUAGAUUAGUUAAGGAAAACCAGCAUGGAUUUGUACAGGGAAAAUCAUGUUUAACUAUUUUGCUCAAUAUUUUGAUGAGGUCACAGAGGAUGAUGAUUAUGAUACUGCUGGUAUGACGUAGGUAGAUCUCCAGAAGGGAUUUGAUAUAAUAAUGUAUAGCAGCUCUGUUGGUAAAGUUAGAGCUCAUGGAAUAAAACGAACACAGAACAAAAAUGCUGGAGAAAUUCAUCAUGUCCAGAAGCUUCUAUAGAGAGAGAAUCGGGGUGCG